rnacentral:rRNA from 1 species
ACGGAUCUCUUGGUUCUGGCAUCGAUGAAGAACGCAGCGAAAUGCGAUAAGUAGUGUGAAUUGCAGAAUUCAGUGAAUCAUCGAAUCUUUGAACGCACAUUGCGCCCUUUGGUAUUCCAAAGGGCAUGCCUGUUCGAGCGUCAUUUGUACCCUCAAGCUUUGCUUGGUG